rnacentral:misc_RNA from 1 species
AUGCGCCUUUGUUUUGGCUUUAAGGAAAAAAUAUUUCCGUUUUACAAGAUUAUGCCGGGGAAGGUUUUCCGGUUUGUUCCGGAGGGCUUGUAGCUCAGUUGGUUAGAGCGCGCGCUUGAUAAGCGUGAGGUCGGAGGUUCAAGUCCUCCCAGGCCCACCAAUUUGAUUUAAGUGCUUACUUUGAUUUUAGUGCUUAGAAGGUACUUAUUUUAGUACAAUUUAAAGCUUUUUUAGGUAAUUACCUCUUAUUAGGCAGCUAUAUUUUUUAUAGUUCAAUGUGCGCUUAUCAAUUACGCUAAAGCGAUUUAAAUUCCGUUUUAAGUUUACGCGGGUAGAACUGAAUUUUAAAUGCGUUUUAAAAUGCGUUUUUAAAAGUCCUUUAUCCUAAUUUAGGGGCCGUAGCUCAGCUGGGAGAGCACCUGCUUUGCAAGCAGGGGGC